rnacentral:rRNA from 1 species
GAGUUUGAUCCUGGCUCAGAACGAACGCUGGCGGCGUGCUUAACACAUGCAAGUCGAACGGGAUCCAGAGCUUGCUCUGGUGAGAGUGGCGCACGGGUGAGUAACGCGUGGAUAACCUGCCCUGGUAUCUGGGAUAACAUCUCGAAAGGGGUGCUAAUACCGGAUAAGCCCACAGCUCCUUCGGGAGCUGCGGGAAAAGGUGGCCUCUAUUUAUAAGCUACCGUAUCAGGAUGGGUCCGCGUACCAUUAGCUAGUUGGUGGGGUAAUGGCCUACCAAGGCGACSAUGGUUAGCUGGUCUGAGAGGAUGAUCAGCCACACUGGAACUGAGACACGGUCCARACUCCUACGGGAGGCAGCAGUGGGGAAUUUUGCGCAAUGGGGGAAACCCUGACGCAGCAACGCCGCGUGAGUGAUGAAGGCUUUCGGGUCGUAAAGCUCUGUCAGAGGGGAAGAAAUGAAACUGGCUAAUAUCCAGUUUUCUUGACGGUACCCUCAAAGGAAGCACCGGCUAACUCCGUGCCAGCAGCCGCGGUAAUAC